CGGGAGGCCGUCGAAGGCGAAAGCCAACAUGAAGCCCGGGGAGUUGGCCUCCGUGCAAUCAAGCACCACCUGCUGAGGGAAGCGCUGGAAUUCCCUGGUGGGCCGUGGGGUCCACACCAUGAGCCAAGCUAGACAGAUGAGCAGCUGGGCCAUUGAGCUGAUGACCACAAAUAGGCUGGGACCAUGGUUUUGGACCCAGGCAUGGUAGAAGAAUUCAGUCUGGCGGCAGGUAUUCUCCAACCUGUACCUAACUGCAGCGAAGUGAGCAAGGCCCUGGUUCUGCACAUGUGUGGCCCACGGGGGAUCCCCUCAUCUGCUCUGUGGGCCCUAGGAGUGCCCAGUCAUUCGCCCACUCACUUGGUCACUCACCACUCUUGUUGAGGAAGGUCCCCGCCUCCCAGGGCACACACUCAAAGCAACAGUGGCGGAAACCCACGAUGACUCGCUGGUGUCCUUCAAGACAGUCGCUGGAGCACACAGACUUAGGCACCUGCAAGAAGCCACAGGUGUUCUGUAACCACAUGGAGUGGCUCAAGUCGAGGGAUGCUCACAUGGAAUGGGAAACAAUCUCUGUACAUCUGCUUUCACAGCUCACUCCCAGGGCAGAGCCCCUGGUUUCAUAAACCUGCAGCAGCCGGCCAUCUGGGUGCUGCCCGGGAAGCUGGAUAGGGCCAUGUUGGCCUCGUACCUGGGAUCCCCCUCCUGCUCGUCCACAGUAUCCUCAGGCAUCAGGCUAUCCAUGAGGCAGUCCCCUUGUGAGUGACCAUGUCUCUGUUACCUUGUUGUCCUUUCUGUGCCACCGGAUUUUGGUUUUAUUUAUGUCCGGCUGAACUGGAGGCCAUGUGGAAGAACCGAUGACCCUAAAGUUCCACUUGGGACCACUCCAGUCCCAAGCAAUUAUGUCAUAGCCCAAGCAAUUAUGUUAGCCGUUGUCAUUAAAUAUCACAAUAUCGCUGUGUAGAAGGAAAUUCACUUUGCGGAUCUGCUCCAGAAGCUGAAAUAAACAGGGACCAGGGAGCUGCCAUAGAUGAAAAAGGCUGUUCCUCCUCAACCGCCCAGACCUGGAAGGCUCAGGAAGCAAGUGCCUGGGGCCUUGUGCUUCUAUUUAGGUGGUUUCAGUCCAUCUGGAAAUUCAGAGCCCUCCUUCCCCUCCAAGGAAGCCCCUCAACCCUCCCAACUAGCCUCCUGAGAGGAAGCUUCUUCUUUUAUUUUUUUUUAGGAUUUUAUUUAUUUAUUUGACAGAGAGAGACAGUGAGAGAGGGAACACAAGCAGGGGGAGUGGGAGAGGGAGAAGCAGGCUUCCCACCGAGCAGGGAGCCCGAUGCGGGGCUCAAUCCCAGGACCCUGGGAUCAAGACCUGAGCUGAAGGCAGACGCUUAACGACUGAGCCCCCUGAGAGGAAUCUUUUAACGAAGGACCCCUUUACAGUGAUUUUUAGUCCUGGAUCUGAAGCAUGGUGAGUGGGAGGGGCUCAGGUUCAGAGAAGUGAAACCUAAGAGAGGGGAUCAGCCCUCUGAUCGGUAACCUUUGUCCCGCACUCCUAGCACUUAGUUGGCCAGAAAGUAAUCACUCUGCUUGCCUCAGGAAAGCACCCCCUUUCAGGGUGCCAGGGGCUGGUCUACCUUACCUGCCAGGGAUAGAUUCGGUCUCUGGAACAGGCUCCGGAGGCACAGCCCAGGAGCUGGUGGAGGCCAUGGGCCACUGUGUAGACAGCCCGGUAGGCGUUGUAGGCAGAGCUCAUGGAGAAUGCUCCAAGUGUGGGCAUCUGCUGUGUCGUGAAAGCCAGACACUCUCUGCAGAGUUGGUUGCUGCUGCAC